GUCAUCAAGAGCAGUGGAGGGACGUGGCCCUUUGAAACUGCGGCAACCUGCCAUUUGGUAAGGUGCUAAGUCCAACGGGAAACCGACAGAUGA
rnacentral:ncRNA from 1 species